UUUAUAUACUUGCUUUUCCCUAUUUUGAUUUUCCCUUUCCUAUGGGUUCUUGUUUCUUUUCUAUUUAGAGAAAACCUUUCAAUAUUUCUUUUAGGGUAGACUCAGUAUUGCUGUAUUCUUUUAGUUUUUGCUUGCCUGAGAAAUUCUUUAAUUUUUUCUUCUAUUCUAAAUGAUAAUCUUGCUGGGUAGAGUAUCCUAGGUUGUGGGUUUUUCCCUUUCAGGACUUUGAAUGUAUUUUGCUAUUCCCUUCUGGCCUGCAAAGUUUCUGUAGAGAAAUCAGCAAAUAGCAUUACGGGGGUUCUUUUGUAACUAACUCUUUGUUUUUCUCUUGCUGCCUUUAGAAUCCUGUCUUUAACUUCUGCCAUUUUAAUUAUGAUAUGUCUUGGUAUAGGUCUGUUUGGGUUCAUCUUGUUUGGGACCCUCUUUGCUUCCUUUACCUGGAUAUCUGCUUCAUUAGGUUUGGAAAGUUUUCAGCCAUAAUUUCUUCAAGUACAUUUUAGAUCCCCCUUUCUCUUCUCCUCCUGGGAUCCCUAUUAUGCACAGCUUGGCAUCCUUUAUAUCAGCCCAUAGGUCUUGUAUGUUGCUUUCUUUUCUUUUUUUUCAUUUGUCUUUCUGCGUGCUGUUAUGAUUGGGUGAUUUCCAUUAUUCUAUCUUCCAGAUCACUUAUUCGUUCUUCUGCAUUAUUUAGUUUGGUAUUUUAUUGCCUUUAGUUUGGUUUUCAUCUCAACAAUUGAGUUGUCUAAUUUUGAUUGGCUCCUCUUUAUUGUUUCUGUUUCCUUGUUACAGUGAUCUGCAUUUCUAUUGACAGCCUUUCUUAAUUCCUUCAGCAUUUUUAUUACCUCCUUUUUGAACGUGGAGUCUGGCAGGCUGGAGAGGUCUGUUUCAUUGUUUGUUCUUUCAGGGGAUUUCUUUUCUUUUAAUUGGGAGUGGUUCCUCUGCUUUUCCACUUAUAUUUCUUUGACUCUGAAUUUAGGGGAAACAGUUAUCUACUGUGGUCUCAAAGGGCCGUUUUUAUGUGGGAGCAUCCCUGUGUAGCCUCCAUGAGUCCAUUAUUUUUGGUGUGACGGCUGUUUUUUGGUAUGGAUGCCUGCCAUGUCUUUCCUCAGACUUAGCUGGCCAUCAUCCCCUUGAUAUGGGGUAUGAUUGGUGUUGUGAUGACCAGAGCUUGCACUGGAUGUUGGGCAGGGCCUCCUCUUUGCUCUGUGGUUGUCACAGCCCUAUCGAGAGCAGGGUCUGCUUGCCAGUUGUUGGAGUAGAAGCCCCCAGAUCCAGUUCUAAGCUGCACUGUGAGGUAGGUGGGACUGGAGCACUCCCUCUGGGAAAGGAGCUGCUCCAUAUUCCUCUCCAGGGGCUGUCCACUGGGACGGGCACUCUGUGCCAUCACCUGUUACCUAGUGCAUGUGCUCACAAAAUACACUGUUGUUGGCACUGCCCUCGGCCCUGCCUCCGCUGUGGGAAUGCUGGUAAUCAGCUCAGAUUUCAGCCCUGCUUCUGCUUGUGUGCACCCACAAAACCUGCUGCUCCUGGCACCAGACCCGCCUCAGCUGGGGAAUGCUGGUAAUCAGCUUGGAUGUCCCUCAGGCACUGCACUCACAAAGCCACUGGUAUAAAUCCACUGAAGCCGCGUACCCGACCCGUUGUAGGAGUGGCAGUAAUCUCAGAUUUCAGGGGGGUGCAUGUCUUGGGCUGGGAAGUGCAGUGAGGUGGCAAGGACUGUCUGUCCUGGUCUCUCUCUCUCCUGCCUGCCGCAAACCGGCUGCUACACUCUUCUGAGCCUCUGAAGCUCCCUAUCUGUCCCCUCUGACCUCCCAGCUGGUGAAUGUGGUUCCCAGGGUGAGGGAACUUUUUCCCUUUCACAGCUCCCUCCGAGGGGUGCAGGUCCCAUUCCAAUUACUUUUUUUCCCCCCUUUUGUCCUACCCAGUUUACAUGGUGAUCUUUCGUGCAGCUUUGGUUGUAUGAGAUCUUCUGCCAGCGUUCAAAAAGGAUCAAAACCAUUCUUGAUGUUGAAUUUCUGGAACUGUAAUAUUUAAAAAAAAAAAGGUCUUAAGAUUGAGAGAAGCCACGCUCAAGAAGUUUCAUCUACCUGGAUCUGAUUUAGAUGAUGAAAUUCCGUACUUAAGCUUGAGCCUAAUGCAGUAAUGGCAUGAAACUAAGAAUCUUGGAAGCAGAGGUAUAAAACACAUAAGAGAGCCAUAAUGAGUGUUCCAGCCCAGUCAAGCUCCUAGAUGACUAGAGGACCAGCCAACAUCAAGUGGAGCAAAACAACUGCCUACCUAAGCAAAGUCAACCCAUAGAAUCUUGAGAAAUAAU